rnacentral:rRNA from 1 species
AGAGUUCGAUCCUGGCUCAGGACGAACGCUGGCGGCGUGCCUAACACAUGCAAGUCGAACGGAGCUAAUUAAAGGAAGUUUUCGGAUGGAAUUUAGCUAGCUUAGUGGCGGACGGGUGAGUAACGCGUGAGCAACCUGCCUUUCAGAGGGGGAUAACGUCUUGAAAAGGACGCUAAUACCGCAUAACAUUAACACACCGCAUGGAGUGAUAAUCAAAGGAGCAAUCCGCUGAAAGAUGGGCUCGCGUCCGAUUAGCCAGUUGGCGGGGUAGAGGCCCACCAAAGCGACGAUCGGUAGCCGGACUGAGAGGUUGAACGGCCACAUUGGGACUGAGACACGGCCCAG